AUGAGCAGCAAUGUGUCUGGUAGCCCUGCAAAUGGUUCUCAUAUUUGGAAACUUCUAUGGAAGUUGCAUGCUCUUAUCACAUGUGACAAUGCUAGAUUACUUUGGGACACAGCCAAUGAAUAUUUUGACCUUAAGGUCCCAAAGCCACAGCCUAUAACUUGGUUGAGAUAUAUUUUAGGCCUGUCUUAUAUCAGCAAGAAGAUGAGUGUUGUUGCGGUUUCAGUAAUGUGGGAAAUUUGGAGCAUUAUAAAUAAAUACACACAUGAGGAAGUCAAGUUUGAGCCACUAAAAUCGAUGCAAUUAGUAGAUGAACAUCUUGCUGCUCUAAACAUCCCAGACCAGGGGCAACAAGGGAUUAUAGGACAUGUUGAGAGAUGGAAACAACCUGAGAAUUGGUGGUUCCAAAUUAACUCUGAUGAUGGGGUUAGCAUGGUGCAGAGGUGUCCGGAGUGGCUGCAGUUGUUAGAGAUCAUUCUGGAGUACCAAUGGAGCUGCUCAUACAUGUUCCAAGGAGGCACUAGACCUUUUUACUUCAUGUUUCUUUUGAUCGUCUUCCUCCCUCCCUCCCUCCCUCCCUCCCUCCCACGACCACGCCUUCCUCCCUCCAUCCCUCGAUGGAGGUCCCAGAUCGAGUCAGAGAAGGUCCGGCGGUGGCCAGAUCCGCCACCACCACAGCGGGCCUUUUGGAUCCACACCGUCAUCGAGCUGGAUCCACGCCUCAUCGCGCGGCCUCGUCUGCCUUUGCGGCUGCGCCACGGGAUUCUACUACGUCGCCCAGUCCAGCGUCGCCGCACGGGACGCGCCUUCUCCAUCGGCCACGUCCUCUGCUACACCUCGGAGAUGGGCUACGUCAACCUCAUCCCCGCGCCCCAGGAGGUCGAGGACCGCAAGGACCGGGAGAUCGAUAAGAUGGAGGGAAACUUUAGCGUCGCCUACGUCAAUCGACGAGAUGGAGAUCGGCUGCACCACGGCAGCGACGGGCCGACGCUAGUGGACUGGGAGCGCAGGUGGCCGAUGCUAGUGGACCGGGAGCCAAGGGCCUGA
rnacentral:rRNA from 1 species